rnacentral:miRNA from 1 species
AGCAGAAUUUUUGGAUACUGG